rnacentral:rRNA from 1 species
ACUGGGGGCGUAAGGGCAUGCAGGCGGUUAAACAAGUAGGAUGUGAAAUCCCCGGGCUCAACCUGGGAGCUGCAUACUAAACUGUUUAACUAGAGUAUUGCAGGGGGAGACGGAAUUCCAGGUGUAGCGGUGGAAUGCGUAGAUAUCUGGAAGAACACCAAAGGCGAAGGCAGUCUCCUGGGCAAAUACUGACGCUCAUAUGCGAAAGCGUGGGUAGCAAACAGGAUUAGAUACCCUGGUAGUCCACGCCGUAAACGAUGUCAAUUAGGAGCUUGUGCGAUAGUAUGGGUUCCGCAGCAAACGCGAUAAAUUGACCGCCUGGGGAGUACGGCCGCAAGGUUAAAACUCAAAUGAAUUGACGGGGGCCCGCACAAGCGGUGGAGCAUGUGGUUUAAUUCGACGCAACGCGAAGAACCUUACCUGACCUUGACAUAGUGAGAACCUCUCUGAAGGGAGAGGGUGCCUUCGGGAGCUCACAUACAGGUGCUGCAUGGCUGUCGUCAGCUCGUGUCGUGAGAUGUUGGGUUAAGUCCCGCAACGAGCGCAACCCUUGUCCUUUGUUGCCAGCGGGUAAAGCCGGGAACUCAAAGGAGACUGCCAGUGACAAACUGGAGGAAGGCAGGGAUGACGUCAAGUCAUCAUGGCCCUUACGGUCAGGGCUACACACGUGCUACAAUGGGGCGUACAGAGGGAAACGAUACCGCGAGGUGGAGUGGAACCCACAAAGCGUCCCUAAGUUCGGAUUGGAGUCUGCAACUCGACUCCAUGAAGUCGGAAUCGCUAGUAAUCGCAAUCAGAAUGUUGCGGUGAAUACGUUCCCGGGCCUUGUACACACCGCCCGUCACACCAUGGGGAGUGGAUUGCACCAGAAGUAGCUAGCUUAACAGCAAUGAGGGCCGGUU